UCAACCGUAAAAAUGCAGUUGAUACUGGGGACCUUGAGUGCGGCAGAGGCAGGCGGAAUUCGUGGUGUAGCGGUGAAAUGCUUAGAUAUCACGAAGAACUCCGAUUGCGAAGGCAGCUUGCUGGACCGUAACUGACGUUGAUGCUCGAAAGUGCGGGUAUCAAACAGGAUUAGAUACCCUGGUAGUCCGCACAGUAAACGAUGAAUACUCGCUGUUGGCGAUAUACUGCCAGCGGCCAAGCGAAAGCGUUAAGUAUUCCACCUGGGGAGUACGCCGGCAACGGUGAAACUCAAAGGAAUUGACGGGGGCCCGCACAAGCGGAGGAACAUGUGGUUUAAUUCGAUGAUACGCGAGGAACCUUACCCGGGCUUGAACUGCAGCGGAAUGAUUUGGAAACAGAUCAGCGAGCAAUCGCCGCUGUGGAGGUGCUGCAUGGUUGUCGUCAGCUCGUGCCGUGAGGUGUCGGCUUAAGUGCCAUAACGAGCGCAACCCUUACCGAUAGUUGCCAUCAGGUGACGCUGGGGACUCUAUCGGGACUGCCGUCGUAAGAUGUGAGGAAGGUGGGGAUGACGUCAAAUCAGCACGGCCCUUACGUCCGGGGCUACACACGUGUUACAAUGGGGGGUACAGCAGGCCGCUACCGGGCGACCGGAUGCCAAUCCCUAAAACCCCUCUCAGUUCGGACUGGAGUCUGCAACCCGACUCCACGAAGCUGGAUUCGCUAGUAAUCGCGCAUCAGCCACGGCGCGGUGAAUACGUUCCCGGGCCUUGUACACACCGCCCGUCAAGCCAUGAAAGCCGGGGGUACCUGAAGUGCGUAACCGCAAGGAGCGCCCUAGGGUAAAA
rnacentral:rRNA from 1 species